UUAAUUGAAACCAAACAGAGGUUAAUUAUUGUUAAUAAUUUAAAUGAAAAAAAAUUUCCAAUUAAA
rnacentral:tRNA from 1 species